AUGGAGCUACAUAUCUUUAUUUAUUUCUUAAUGAUCUUUCCUGCAUGUAUUUCAUCACAGAUUACACAUACUGAGUCUGGUGAUGGUCUUAAGAAGCCAGGAGAUACUCUACGGCUGACUUGUACAUUCUCUGGAUAUGCCAUCACAAGCUAUGGAGUGCACUGGAUCCGUCAGCCCCCUGGAAAGGCAUUGGAAUGGAAUGGUGCUAUCUGGGCUGGUGGAACCACUAACUAUAACAGUGCUCUCCAGAAUCGGAUCACCAUCACAAGGGAUAAAUCCAAAAACCAGGUGUUCCUUCAAUUGACUGGUUUAAAGCCUGAGGACACCGGCACUUAUUACUGUGCAGGAUACACAGUGAAAAAAAUGCUUUGCUCAAGGAGCCUAAAACUUCUCUUCCUCAAAAUAAAUCCUUUGUCAUUUGUUGUUUUUGAAUGGCAGUUGGCAACUAGAUUGCUUUCCGUGCUCUGCCAGCUCUGUGUGAAAGUUUAA